UACGUAGGGAGCAAGCGUUGUCCGGAAUCAUUGGGCGUAAAGCGCGUGUAGGCGGCUUGGUAAGUCUGCUCUGAAAGCCCGGGGCUCAACCCCGGGAGGCGGGUGGAUACUGCUGAGCUCGAGUCCGGGAGAGGCGAGUGGAAUUCCUGGUGUAGCGGUGAAAUGCGCAGAUAUCAGGAGGAACACCGAUGGCGAAGGCGGCUCGCUGGGACGGUACUGACGCUGAGACGCGAAAGCGUGGGGAGCGAACAGG
rnacentral:rRNA from 1 species